rnacentral:rRNA from 1 species
GACGAACGCUGGCGGCGUGCCUAAUACAUGCAAGUAGAACGCACAGUUUAUACCGUAGCUUGCUACACCAUAGACUGUGAGUUGCGAACGGGUGUGUAACGCGUAGGUAACCUGCCUGGUAGCGGGGGAUAACUAUUGGAAACGAUAGCUAAUACCGCAUAAUAUUGAUUAUUGCAUGAUAAUUGAUUGAAAGAUGCUAUUGCAUCACUACCAGAUGGACCUGCGUUGUAUUAGCUAGUAGGUGAGGUAACGGCUCACCUAGGCGACGAUACAUAGCCGACCUGAGAGGGUGAUCGGCCACACUGGGACUGAGACACGGCCCAGACUCCUACGGGAGGCAGCAGUAGGGAAUCUUCGGCAAUGGACGAAAGUCUGACCGAGCAACGCCGCGUGAGUGAAGAAGGUUUUCGGAUCGUAAAGCUCUGUUGUAAGAGAAGAACGGGUGUGAGAGUGGAAAGUUCACACUGUGACGGUAUCUUACCAGAAAGGGAUGGCUAACUACGUG